rnacentral:rRNA from 1 species
UGGGGAAUAUUGCACAAUGGGCGCAAGCCUGAUGCAGCCAUGCCGCGUGUGUGAAGAAGGCCUUCGGGUUGUAAAGCACUUUGUCCGGAAAGAAAUCCUUGGCUCUAAUACAGUCGGGGGAUGACGGUACCGGAAGAAUAAGCACCGGCUAACUACGUGCCAGCAGCCGCGGUAAUACGUAGGGUGCAAGCGUUAAUCGGAAUUACUGGGCGUAAAGCGUGCGCAGGCGGUUUGCUAAGACCGAUGUGAAAUCCCCGGGCUCAACCUGGGAACUGCAUUGGUGACUGGCAGGCUAGAGUAUGGCAGAGGGGGGUAGAAUUCCACGUGUAGCAGUGAAAUGCGUAGAGAUGUGGAGGAAUACCGAUGGCGAAGGCAGCCCCCUGGGCCAAUACUGACGCUCAUGCACGAAAGCGUGGGGAGCAAACAGGAUUAGAUACCCUGGUAGUCCACGCCCUAAACGAUGUCAACUAGUUGUUGGGGAUUCAUUUCCUUAGUAACGUAGCUAACGCGUGAAGUUGACCGCCUGGGGAGUACGGUCGCAAGAUUAAAACUCAAAUGAAUUGACGGGGUCAUAGCUGUUUCCUG